CUGACCCAACACUGCUCAUCCCAUGUGGUCAUUGCUGGCUUACAGUUUUUCUUCCCAGGGUCUCCCCAAGAGCUGCUUCCUUUGACUCCUGCUGUGUGUAGUUCUGCUGACAAUGACCUGGACAGCUCUGCGCCAUGCACAGCGUCUCUUUUCUCCGACUUACCAAAUUUUAGACACUACUGACUCCUCCAUGUGAAAGAUGGGAAUUCAGCUACAUCACAUUACCCUACAAACUUUAUUGUUAAUAUUUCUUCCCGGUCAGCCCCAAACACUGAAUGUAAAUACGGUCCAACAUCAACCUGCAAACGAACACUGACAUGAAAGUGCAGUUGGAAAGGAUCUCGCAAAGGAACAGAAUCUGGUGAUCCUAAUCGUAAUGAACGUGAUCGCCGGGUAUUGAGAGCUUGCAGGUACCAGGGCUCCGGCACUACGUGUUUCACAGGGGCCACUCGGUAGACCUCUUGGUGACCUUGAGGUCAGGUACCACGUUCCCAUUUUACAGAGGAGGAAACUGAGAUAACCUACGACAGCGAAAAGGUAGCAGAGCUGGGACUGGUGCCCAGGCUCGCCGAGUGGAAAAGCCCUCGGCCACCGUGGAGAGCUCGCUUCCUGUGGUCUGAAGCGUCGCCCCUGCACCGGCUUCUGCUGCCAAGGAUGGCUUUUCCUCACUGGUGCCCACCUACGCUCACUUGUGUCAUGUGGUUAAGCCCUUUUGGCAACAUAAGACCUUUCCCAAGAAUGUGCCUCGGUGCAGAGGAAGACGGUGGGGGCAGGCCCCCUCCCCGGGAUGCUCCACCCUCCCUGACCUCACACGGGUGCAACCUGGGCCGUGGCCGAGACCUGCUGUGUGGCAGACAAUGGGAAGCCUGUGUGUCGUCCUGGGUGCCGGAUUUAGACAAUAUUUAGCUUUCCCUUGGUGGAAAAGCCUUUCCCCUCCUGCUUUGGGCAGGAACUGGUUCCUGUUGGGCGGGGCCUGGCUGCUGCCCCACCCCCACCCGGCCGGGCACCUUGACCGGCAGCUCUCCGGGCUGCUCCCUGCCUGUGUCCCUGAGCACUGACUCCAGAGGUUUAAUCAUUAACGGGCACGUUUGGCCUUCGGUCGUGGGCUGGAAUUUGGGACCUGUGCCCGGGAACAAUGAUCUCCGACACAUUAUUUUGUGUAAAAUCACUUUUAGC
rnacentral:lncRNA from 1 species